rnacentral:tRNA from 1 species
UCCUGGAUAGCUCAGCUGGUAGAGCUUCAGGCUUUUAAUCUGAGGGUCCUGGGUUCAAGUCCCUGUUCAGGUG